rnacentral:rRNA from 1 species
GAUGAACGCUGGCGGCGUGCCUAAUACAUGCAAGUCGAGCGAACCACUUCGGUUGGUGAGCGGCGAAACGGGUGAGUAACACGUAGGUGAUCUGCCCAUCAGACGGGGACAACGAUUGGAACGGAUCGCUAAUACCGGAUAGGACGAAAGUUUAAAGGUGCUUCUGGCACCGCUGGAUGGAUGAGCCUGCGGCGCAUUAGCUAGUUGGUAGGGUAAAGGCCUACCGAAGGCCGACGAUGCGUAGCCGACCUGAGGAGGGUGAACGGCCACACCUGGGACUGAGACACGGCCCAGACUCCCACGGGAGGCAGCAGUAGGGAAUCUUCGGCAAUGGGCGAAAGCCUGACCGAGCAACGCCGCGUGAAUGAUGAAGGUCUU